UGACCACGCUUGCAAGAGCAUGGUCAGCGUGAUGUAGAGUGACUGCAUUUUCUCUUUCAGUUUCACUUUGGUACUUGCUGGACAGACUGCUGCCACGCCGGCUGGCUAUGACCAUAUUGUGAGCAGGAAAGGUAAAGGGAACACCUAAGCCCAGGAGACUGAGCUAAUUAUUGGGGACACUGCCUGUGAAGAAGAUCUCUGCUUUUGGUUUUCCUGGUUUUCCUUACUCUGGCAAGUAACCACCUUCUCUGGGCCUCUGCAACAUGCCUGCAAAGCAUAACUACCAUCUCACAAGGAGGACUCUUGGCUUCAUAGUUAAUUGAAUCUUAAAGGCAUUAAGACUCAGCACCUGUAAUGGAAAAGCAAAGUCUCAUCAGCAUGACUGUCUGAAUAUGGGCUGGACAAGAACAACAACAAUAGACACGUGGAUGGCAAAAAGCCCAUGAGACCCCAUCCCUACACAAAGAGCUACGGGAAAGUAAGGAAUGCUGAGAGUAGAAGAAAUAGUCUUCCACAGGGAAGAGCACAUCAGUCAGUUGUCCAGUGCCAAGUGGUCAGCGCUGAAAAGAUACACACAGAGAACAUUGUAAAGAAUGAUCUGGUUGUGUUUAGGAAUGUAUGUGCAUAUACAUGUGCAUAUACAUCAUACACUCAUACACAUAUAUGCAUGUAAAACAAUGAAAAAAGAGGCCAUAAGUUUGAACUCUUACAUUUUUAUAUUUUAGGUUGUGAGCAUAGCCUUUAAUGGCUGAGCCAUCUCUUCAGCCUAGUCAUUAACUUUAAAGACAACAAAGAGAGGUUUAGAGUUUGGAAGGAGAAAAGAAAGGGAGAAAUAAUGUAAUUUUAUUUUAUUCUCCAAAAGCAAAAUAAGUAAUAAAAGCAAUUUGAAAGAAUUUAGAUGAAAUAAAUCUUCUGUUUUACAAAAUUUUUCAUAAAAAGAAAACUUGUUAGCACUGACAAUUUCAAGCCAGACCAAGUCUGAGUCCAGAGAAGGGGAAGUGGGCAC
rnacentral:lncRNA from 1 species